rnacentral:lncRNA from 1 species
CGAGGCCAAUAUUUCUUUUGGAUAUACCAUCGCAAUGCUGCCGGGGCUGGUGCCGGUGCAGACGCUCGCCCCGAUCGACGCCGGAUGCUCGCCGCCGGGUGGCUUCAGAAUGUGAAGUCUGCCUGCUCCCGUUCGAUAGGUAAAGUUUCGGAGACACUAGUGCGUUUUCUGGAAACUGCGGUCUCAAGGAUGGCGACGGAGAAAGUGCGCCCAUGGUCUUCCAUGCCCUCGCGCUACUGAGCCAGAAUACCAGCAGCCAGCACCCUUCGAGCUGCAGUGCGCCGAUCUCGCGGUAGGAUGCGGUUCAAAAACUAAGCGAUCUCGCGCAGUGUUUACGAUCUAUGGGAGUGUUUCAUUGUUUUUUACGGACCUCUUUUAGUGUUGUGUUUAACGGAUUGCGCCCCGUACCCGGCCCUUGAAUUGCAUGUUGGCAGAGAUGUCGUAUGAUGGGUUUUUGUAAUAAACUUCAGUGUUUUUCCUCGUGUUUGUCACGUC